ACUGCCCCGUGGAGACAUAACUACGACUGCAGUGUUGUCUUUAUGCCAGAAGGAGGCAGACAGGAAGCAUUGGCCGCUUUGAGUCUAUAUCCUUAAAGAAUGGAUGCAGACAUUUACAGUGGCUGAACAAU
ensembl:snoRNA small nucleolar RNA SNORA17